rnacentral:rRNA from 1 species
GAUGAACGCUAGCGGCAGGCCUAACACAUGCAAGUCGAGGGGCAGCACAGAAAUAGCUUGCUAUUUGGGUGGCGACCGGCGCACGGGUGCGUAACGCGUAUGCAACCUACCUUAUACUGGGGUAUAGCCCGGAGAAAUUCGGAUUAAUCCCCCAUGGUAUUAUAGAUUGGCAUCGGUUUAUAAUUAAAGUAACAACGGUAUAAGAUGGGCAUGCGUCCUAUUAGCUAGAUGGUGAGGUAACGGCUCACCAUGGCUACGAUAGGUAGGGGGCCUGAGAGCGUGGCCCCCCANACGGGUACUGAGACACGGACCCGACUCCUACGGGAGGCAGCAGUAAGGAAUAUUGGACAAUGGUCGAAAGACUGAUCCAGCCAUCCCGCGUGCAGGAUGACUGCCCUAUGGGUUGUAAACUGCUUUUAUAUGGGAAGAAUAGCAUAGAUUCAUCUGUGUAUGACGGUACCAUAUGAAUAAGCACCGGCUAACUCCGU